GGUUAAGCGACUAAGCGUACACGGUGGAUGCCCUGGCAGUCAGAGGCGAUGAAGGACGUGCUAAUCUGCGAAAAGCGUCGGUAAGGUGAUAUGAACCGUUAUAACCGGCGAUGUCCGAAUGGGGAAACCCAGUGCAAUUCGUUGCACUAUCGUUAACUGAAUACAUAGGUUAACGAGGCGAACCGGGGGAACUGAAACAUCUAAGUACCCCGAGGAAAAGAAAUCAACCGAGAUUCCCCCAGUAGCGGCGAGCGAACGGGGAGCAGCCCAGAGUCUGAAUCAGCUUGUGUGUUAGUGGAACGGUCUGGAAAGUCCGACGGUACAGGGUGAUAGUCCCGUACACCAAAAUGCACAGGUUGUGAACUCGAAGAGUAGGGCGGGACACGUGGUAUCCUGUCUGAAUAUGGGGGGACCAUCCUCCAAGGCUAAAUACUCCUGACUGACCGAUAGUGAACCAGUACCGUGAGGGAAAGGCGAAAAGAACCCCGGCGAGGGGAGUGAAAAAGAACCUGAAACCGUGUACGUACAAGCAGUGGGAGCACCUUCGGGUGUGACUGCGUACCUUUUGUAUAAUGGGUCAGCGACUUAUAUUCUGUAGCAAGGUUAACCGUAUAGGGGAGCCGCAGGGAAACCGAGUCUUAACUGGGCGUUAAGUUGCAGGGUAUAGACCCGAAACCCGGUGAUCCAGCCAUGGGCAGGUUGAAGGUUGGGUAACACUAACUGGAGGACCGAACCGACUAAUGUUGAAAAAUUAGCGGAUGACUUGUGGCUGGGGGUGAAAGGCCAAUCAAACCGGGAGAUAGCUGGUUCUCCCCGAAAGCUAUUUAGGUAGCGCCUCGUGAACUCAUCUUCGGGGGUAGAGCACUGUUUCGGCUAGGGGGUCAUCCCGACUUACCAACCCGAUGCAAACUACGAAUACCGAAGAAUGUUAUCACGGGAGACACACGGCGGGUGCUAACGUCCGUCGUGAAGAGGGAAACAACCCAGACCGCCAGCUAAGGUCCCAAAGUCAUGGUUAAGUGGGAAACGAUGUGGGAAGGCACAGACAGCCAGGAUGUUGGCUUAGAAGCAGCCAUCAUUUAAAGAAAGCGUAAUAGCUCACUGGUCGAGUCGGCCUGCGCGGAAGAUGUAACGGGGCUAAACCAUGCACCGAAGCUGCGGCAGCGACACUAUGUGUUGUUGGGUAGGGGAGCGUUCUGUAAGCCUGCGAAGGUGUGCUGUGAGGCAUGCUGGAGGUAUCAGAAGUGCGAAUGCUGACAUAAGUAACGAUAAAGCGGGUGAAAAGCCCGCUCGCCGGAAGACCAAGGGUUCCUGUCCAACGUUAAUCGGGGCAGGGUGAGUCGACCCCUAAGGCGAGGCCGAAAGGCGUAGUCGAUGGGAAACAGGUUAAUAUUCCUGUACUUGGUGUUACUGCGAAGGGGGGACGGAGAAGGCUAUGUUAGCCGGGCGACGGUUGUCCCGGUUUAAGCAUGUAGGCUGGUUAUCCAGGCAAAUCCGGAUAAUCAAGGCUGAGGUGUGAUGACGAGGCACUACGGUGCUGAAGUAACAAAUGCCCUGCUUCCAGGAAAAGCCUCUAAGCAUCAGGUAACAUCAAAUCGUACCCCAAACCGACACAGGUGGUCAGGUAGAGAAUACCAAGGCGCUUGAGAGAACUCGGGUGAAGGAACUAGGCAAAAUGGUGCCGUAACUUCGGGAGAAGGCACGCUGGUGUGUAGGUGAAGUCCCUGCGGAUGGAGCUGAGACCAGUCGAAGAUACCAGCUGGCUGCAACUGUUUAUUAAAAACACAGCACUGUGCAAACACGAAAGUGGACGUAUACGGUGUGACGCCUGCCCGGUGCCGGAAGGUUAAUUGAUGGGGUUAUCCGUAAGGAGAAGCUCUUGAUCGAAGCCCCGGUAAACGGCGGCCGUAACUAUAACGGUCCUAAGGUAGCGAAAUUCCUUGUCGGGUAAGUUCCGACCUGCACGAAUGGCGUAAUGAUGGCCAGGCUGUCUCCACCCGAGACUCAGUGAAAUUGAACUCGCUGUGAAGAUGCAGUGUACCCGCGGCAAGACGGAAAGACCCCGUGAACCUUUACUAUAGCUUGACACUGAACAUUGAGCCUUGAUGUGUAGGAUAGGUGGGAGGCUUUGAAGCGUGGACGCCAGUCUGCGUGGAGCCAACCUUGAAAUACCACCCUUUAAUGUUUGAUGUUCUAACGUUGGCCCCUGACCGGGGUUGCGGACAGUGUCUGGUGGGUAGUUUGACUGGGGCGGUCUCCUCCCAAAGCGUAACGGAGGAGCACGAAGGUUAGCUAAUCCUGGUCGGACAUCAGGAGGUUAGUGCAAUGGCAUAAGCUAGCUUGACUGCGAGCGUGACGGCGCGAGCAGGUGCGAAAGCAGGUCAUAGUGAUCCGGUGGUUCUGAAUGGAAGGGCCAUCGCUCAACGGAUAAAAGGUACUCCGGGGAUAACAGGCUGAUACCGCCCAAGAGUUCAUAUCGACGGCGGUGUUUGGCACCUCGAUGUCGGCUCAUCACAUCCUGGGGCUGAAGUAGGUCCCAAGGGUAUGGCUGUUCGCCAUUUAAAGUGGUACGCGAGCUGGGUUUAGAACGUCGUGAGACAGUUCGGUCCCUAUCUGCCGUGGGCGCUGGAGAAUUGAGGGGGGCUGCUCCUAGUACGAGAGGACCGGAGUGGACGCAUCACUGGUGUUCGGGUUGUCAUGCCAAUGGCACUGCCCGGUAGCUAAAUGCGGAAGAGAUAAGUGCUGAAAGCAUCUAAGCACGAAACUUGCCCCGAGAUGAGUUCUCCCUGAGACUAUAAGUCUCCUGAAGGAACGUUAAAGACGAUGACGUUGAUAGGCCGGGUGUGUAAGCGCAGCGAUGCGUUGAGCUAACCGGUACUAAUGAACCGUGAGGCUUAACCUU
rnacentral:rRNA from 1 species